AGUGCUUCUCGGCCUUUUGGCUAAGACCAAGUACACGCUGUGUUAUCAUUGAAUAGCUGGUGCGGACUGUAUCUGAAGAUGAUAUAUUGGCUGGGUUGUUAGGAGCUCUGAGAUGGCCUAGGAGCUUGUUGUGGCCACUUUCUAUGUUAACCUGGUAUUGCUUUACCUUCAGGAAUGGUGGGCCCUAU